rnacentral:rRNA from 1 species
GAUGACGCUGGCGGCAGGCCUAACACAUGCAAGUCGAGCGAGACGCGGACGGGUGAGUAAUGUCUGUGAAUCUGCCUGAUGGAGGGCGAUAACUACUGGAAACGGUAGCUAAUACCGCAUACCAUCAGAUGUGCCCAGAUGGGAUGAGCUAGUUGUGGGGGUAAAGGCUCACCGAGGCGACGAACCCGAGCUGGUCUGAGAGGAUGACCAGCCACACUGGAAGUGGGACACGGUCCAGAAUCCGACGGGAGGCAGCAGGGGGGAAUAUUGGACAAUGGGGGAAAGCAUGAAGGAGCCCAGGCGCGUGAGUGAUGAAGGUCUUCGGAUCGUAAAGCACUUUAAUUAGGGAGGCGUUACCAGAAGAAGAAGCAACGGCUAACUUCGUGCCAGUAGCCGCGGUAAUAC